UACGUAGGGACCGAGCGUUAUCCGGAUUCAUUGGGCGUAAAGAGCUCGUAGGCGGCUAUUCAAGUCGAACGUGAAAUUUCGGAGCUUAACUCCGAAACUGCAUUCGAUACUGCGGUGCUUGAGGACUGGAGAGGAGACUGGAAUUUACGGUGUAGCAGUGAAAUGCGUAGAGAUCGUAAGGAAGACCAGUGGCGAAGGCGGGUCUCUGGACAGUUCCUGACACUGAGGCACGAAGGCCAGGGGAGCAAACGGG
rnacentral:rRNA from 1 species